rnacentral:rRNA from 1 species
AUGUGGACCUAUCUUCGUCAGCGCUAUGAGCCCUCUGGUGAUACCUUAUACCUUUCUGUGGUUCGUCAGGAGCAUGCUCUUCAGCAGGGUGACUCUACUGUUGAUGACUUUUAUGCACAGAGUUCUGCUAUCUGGCGCCAGCUUGAUUCUCUCCGCAGUGCUGGUUGUCGUACUUGCCCCUGUUGCCAGGCUGUCCAGGCUGAUUUGGAGUUUCAUCGCGUCUACGAGUUCCUGUCUCGGCUCCGUAAGGAGUUUGAGCCCCGGCGUGCUCAGUUGUUUGCUCGUGGCCGUAUUUCUCUCAUGGAGGCGCUUUCUGAGAUUCGUGCCGAGGAGACUCGCUUACGUGGUGCUGGUUUGCUGGAGGUUCCUUCUGUGCUCGCUACUCAGGCUUCUUCCAUGCCACCUGCUGCACCGACCCCUUCUCGCUCGAGUGCUCCGCCACUUUUGCCCACUCCUGGAGGCUCGGGUCGCCGUCCACAUUGCGGCUACUGCAACAAUGAUGGUCAUAUUGAGUCCCAGUGCUACACGAAGAGGAAACACCUGCGCAAGGCGCGAUCAUCAUCUUCAGGGACUUCGUCA